rnacentral:rRNA from 1 species
GAUGAACGCUGGCGGCGUGCCUAAUACAUGCAAGUCGAGCGAACGGACGAGAAGCUUGCUUCUCUGAUGUUAGCGGCGGACGGGUGAGUAACACGUGGAUAACCUACCUAUAAGACUGGGAUAACUUCGGGAAACCGGAGCUAAUACCGGAUAAUAUUUUGAACCGCUUGGUUCAAAAGUAAAAGACGGUCUUGCUGUCACUUAUAGAUGGAUCCGCGCUGCAUUAGCUAGUUGGUAAGGUAACGGCUUACCAAGGCAACGAUGCAUAGCCGACCUGAGAGGGUGAUCGGCCACACUGGAACUGAGACACGGUCCAGACUCCUACGGGAGGCAGCAGUAGGGAAUCUUCCGCAAUGGGCGAAAGCCUGACGGAGCAACGCCGCGUGAGUGAUGAAGGUCUUCGGAUCGUAAAACUCUGUUAUUAGGGAAGAACAUAUGUGUAAGUAACUGUGCACAUCUUGACGGUACCUAAUCAGAAAGCCACGGCUAACUACGUG